UACAGAGGUCUCAAGCGUUUGUUCGGAUUCAUUGGGCGUAAAGGGUGCGUAGGUGGCGCCGUUAAGUCGGGUGUGAAAUUUCGGAGCUUAACUCCGAAACUGCAUUCGAUACUGCGGUGCUUGAGGACUGGAGAGGAGACUGGAAAUUCAUGGUGUAGCAGUGAAAUGCGUAGAGAUCAUGAGGAAGACCAGUGGCGAAGGCGGGUCUCUGGACAGUUCCUGACACUGAGGCACGAAGGCCAGGGGAGCAAACGGG
rnacentral:rRNA from 1 species